CAGCCGCCGCGGUAAUACGAAGGGGGCUAGCGUUGUUCGGAAUUACUGGGCGUAAAGCGCACGUAGGCGGAUCGAUCAGUCAGGGGUGAAAUCCCAGGGCUCAACCCUGGAACUGCCUUUGAUACUGUCGAUCUGGAGUAUGGAAGAGGUGAGUGGAAUUCCGAGUGUAGAGGUGAAAUUCGUAUAUAUUCGGAGGAACACCAGUGGCGAAGGCGGCUCACUGGUCCAUUACUGACGCUGAGGUGCGAAAGCGUGGGGAGCAAACAGGAUUAGAUACCCCCGUAGUCCCUGUCUCUUAUAC
rnacentral:rRNA from 1 species